ACAUGCAAGUCGAGGGGAAACGGCAUUGGGUGCUUGCACUCUUUGGACGUCGACCGGCGCACGGGUGAGUAACGCGUAUCCAACCUUCCCAUUACUGUGGGGUAACCUGCCGAAAGGCAGACUAAUACCGCAUAGUCUUCGAUGAUGGCAUCAGAUUUGAAGUAAAGAUUUAUCGGUAAUGGAUGGAGAUGCGUCUGAUUAGCUUGUUGGCGGGGUAACGGCCCACCAAGGCUACGAUCAGUAGGGGUUCUGAGAGGAAGGUCCCCCACAUUGGAACUGAGACACGGUCCAAACUCCUACGGGAGGCAGCAGUGAGGAAUAUUGGUCAAUGGACGGAAGUCUGAACCAGCCAAGUAGCGUGCAGGAUGACGGCCCUAUGGGUUGUAAACUGCUUUUGUAUGGGGAUAAAGUUAGGGACGUGUCCCUAUUUGCAGGUACCAUACGAAUAAGGACCGGCUAAUUCCGUGCCAGCAGCCGCGGUAAUACGGAAGGUCCAGGCGUUAUCCGGAUUUAUUGGGUUUAAAGGGAGCGUAGGCUGGAGAUUAAGUGUGUUGUGAAAUGUAGACGCUCAACGUCUGAAUUGCAGCGCAUACUGGUUUCCUUGAGUACGCACAACGUUGGCGGAAUUCGUCGUGUAGCGGUGAAAUGCUUAGAUAUGACGAAGAACUCCGAUUGCGAAGGCAGCUGACGGGAGCGCAACUGACGCUUAAGCUCGAAGGUGCGGGUAUCAAACAGGAUUAGAUACCCUGGUAGUCCGCACAGUAAACGAUGGAUGCCCGCUGUUGGUACCUGGUAUCAGCGGCUAAGCGA
rnacentral:rRNA from 1 species